rnacentral:ncRNA from 2 species
UACUGAUUCUCUGGAGAGUUCCUGCAAAGAUGCGGGACGCCGAAGGGUUAAGGCUAUUCCAGCCGAUAUCUCAGGCACAAAGGACAGGGCAAAAAAA